GGGACUUGUGGGCUGUGGAGUCUCUCCCACACACGCAGCAGCAGCAUCGGUCUCAUCAUGCGCCUCGGCUAUCUCAUCCUCGCUGCCUUCCUGAGGCAGCCGCUGGGCACCAUGGGGCAGGUCACUGUCACCCAGCAAGAAGGACAAGCCACAGUGAAGCAGGGAGACACCUUCCACACCAACUGCACAUACCAGAUCUCUGGCUCUUUUUCUUUGCUGUGGUACCAGCAGAAGAAAGGCCAAGCUCCCCAGCUGCUCUCGUACCACGCAGCAGCUGGCUCCAAGCUCAGCGGCCGUCUGACCACGCUGCUGAGCACCACGGGCAAAUACAGCCUGCUGCAGCUGGAGGAAGUCGAGGUCUCUGACAGUGCCUUGUACCUCUGUGCUGCACCACGGGGCAGGUCACUGUCACCCAGCAAGAAGGACAAGCCACAGUGAAGCAGGGAGACACCUUCCACACCAACUGCACAUACCAGAUUUCUAACUUUCGGGCCUUGCUGUGGUACCAGCAGAAGAAAGGCCAAGC